GAUAGUACCUUUACCUGGAUAACUGUGGUAAUUCUAGAGCUAAUACAUGCUAAAAACCUCGACUUCGGAAGGGGUGUAUUUAUUAGAUAAAAAACCAAUGCCCUUCGGGGCUGCUUGGUGAUUCAUAAUAACUUAACGAAUCGCAUGGCCUUGCGCCGGCGAUGGUUCAUUCAAAUUUCUGCCCUAUCAACUUUCGAUGGUAAGGUAGUGGCUUACCAUGGUCUCAACGGGUAACGGGGAAUUAGGGUUCUAUUCCGGAGAGGGAGCCUGAGAAACGGCUACCACAUCCAAGGAAGGCAGCAGGCGCGCAAAUUACCCAAUACUAAUUCAGUGAGGUAGUGACAAUAAAUACUGAUACGGGGCUCUUUCGGGUCUCGUAAUUGGAAUGAGUACAAUCUAAAUCCCUUAACGAGGAACAAUUGGAGGGCAAGUCUGGUGCCAGCAGCCGCGGUAAUUCCAGCUCCAAUAGCGUAUAUUAAAGUUGUUGCCGUUAAAAAGCUCGUAGUUGAACCUUGGACCUGGCUGAUCUGUCCUCCUAAUCGAGCGUACGGAUUCGGUCGGGUCUUUUCUUCUGGGGAGCCUUAUGCCCUUCACUGGGUGUAAUGGGGAACCAGGACUUUUACCUUGAAAAAAUUAGAGUGUUCAAAGCAGGCCUUUGCUCGAAUACAUUAGCAUGGAAUAAUAGAAUAGGACAUCGGUUCUAUUUUGUUGGUUUCUAGGACCGCUGUAAUGAUUAAUAGGGAUAGUCGGGGGCGUCCGUAUUCAAUUGUCAGAGGUGAAAUUCUUGGAUUUAUUGAAGACGAACUACUGCGAAAGCAUUCGCCAAGGAUGUUUUCAUUAAUCAGUGAACGAAAGUUAGGGGAUCGAAGACGAUCAGAUACCGUCGUAGUCUUAACCAUAAACUAUGCCGACUAGGGAUCGGACGGUGGUUUUUUUAUGCCCCGUUCGNNNNNNNNNNNNNNNNNNNNNNNNNNNNNNNNNNNNNNNNNNNNNNNNNNAGAAAUCAAAGUGUUUGGGCUCGGGGGGGAGUAUGGUCGCAAGGCUGAAACUUAAAGAAAUUGACGGAAGGGCACCACAAGGCGUAAACAGCCGUAGUUAACUCUGCGCCUGAAAGGCACCUAGACGCAAAUAGGUUGUGGCCAGUCCUCCACCUCUGGUGGGAAGAAGCCUAGUUGAGCCUUACUGCUUCCCUGAAAGUGAACAGGGGCUGUGGCGGUAAGGUUGGCGAGACCGUCAAAUUGCGGGGAAGCUUCAUAACUACUGACUACCGCUAGCCAUUCCGAAAGGUUGGUUGAGCACCCGGGUAGCGCCCAGGGGUAUGGUCACAAUGUCAGUAGUGAAGUUAUCCGCAGCUAAGCUCCUGCGGGGUGAUGUAUGUUUCAUUGCCUACGGAGAAAGUUCAGAGACUAGACGGCGGUCGGUUCCAGAGAACGAUAUCUCUAUAUCUGGAGCUUAAGGUAUAGUCCGCUUACUACAUUGCAUGUGCAACCGUUAAUAAAUGGGAGCCUGCGGCUUAAUUUGACUCAACACGGGGAAACUCACCAGGUCCAGACAUGCUUAGGAUUGACAGAUUGAUAGCUCUUUCUUGAUUGUAUGGGUGGUGGUGCAUGGCCGUUCUUAGUUGGUGGAGUGAUUUGUCUGCUUAAUUGCGAUAACGAACGAGACCUUGACCUGCUAAAUAGCCCGAUUGACUUUUGUCGGUCGCCGGCUUCUUAGAGGGACUUUUGGCUCAAGCCAAUGGAGNNNNNNNNNNNNNNNNNNNNNNNNNNNNNNNNNNNNNNNNNNNNNNNNNNGGAAGUACGAGGCAAUAACAGGUUGACCUUAUGGGUUACGUGCAAACCAUAUCACAGGCCUGAGGAGGGGCCUCGUACAUUGAUUCCAUAGGGGUUUAAUUGGUUCCCCGUUAUCAAAAACUACCUUCUAGUUGAUCCUCAGUCCUCCUGGUAGAAGCCUACCAUAGUCGGGGGAGGGCACCGAAAGGUGUAUGAGGCAGCAAGACAACCUGGUUCAUGGAACGGCCACUGGCCCGAUCAUGAUGCGAGCAGGAGUAGCGUCCUGCCGCGGCAACGCGUGCAAAGGUGUCGGUUCCGUUGUUAAGACGGGGCUUAAGGUACAUGCUAAUCCCCCAGGCAACUGGGGGCUGCUACGAUGAGACCCGACAGUCAAAGCGUAGCAGGCGUCUUUUCGAAGGCGUGCACGAUAUGCUGUGAUGCCCUUAGAUGUUCUGGGUAAGUCUUAAAACUAACUCCUUAUUCUUUGAUUUCUUUACUAACUAUUUCACAGGCUGCACGCGCGCUACACUGACAGAGCCAGCGAGUACAUCACCUUGGCCGAAAGGUCUGGGUAAUCUUGUUAAACUCUGUCGUGCUGGGGAUAGAGCAUUGCAAUUAUUGCUCUUCAACGAGGAAUGCCUAGUAAGCGCAAGUCAUCAGCUUGCGUUGAUUACGUCCCUGCCCUUUGUACACACCGCCCGUCGCUACUACCGAUUGAAUGGCUCAGUGAGGCCUUGGGACUGGCUCAGAAAGGUCGGCAACGACCAUUCAGAGCCGGAAACUUGGUCAAACUUGGUCAUUUAGAGGAAGUAAA
rnacentral:rRNA from 1 species